rnacentral:rRNA from 1 species
GAGGAAGGGAUGGGAAUCUGCCCGGAUAGUGGGGGAUAACGUGGCGGAAACUCACGCUAAUACCGCAUACGUCCUACGGGAGAAAGCAGGGGAUCUUCGGACCUUGCGCUAUCGGAUGAGCCUAUGUCGGAUUAGCUAGUUGGUGAGGUAACGGCUCACCAAGGCGACGAUCCGUAGCUGGUCUGAGAGGAUGAUCAGCCACACUGGGACUGAGACACGGCCCAGACUCCUACGGGAGGCAGCAGUGGGGAAUAUUGGACAAUGGGGGAAACCCUGAUCCAGCCAUGCCGCGUGUGUGAAGAAGGCCUUCGGGUUGUAAAGCACUUUCAGCGAGGAAGAAGGCCUGAGGGCUAAUACCCUUCAGGAAGGACAUCACUCGCAGAAGAAGCACCGGCUAACUCCGUGCCAGCAGCCGCGGUAAUACGGAGGGUGCGAGCGUUAAUCGGAAUUACUGGGCGUAAAGCGCGCGUAGGUGGCUUGAUAAGCCGGUUGUGAAAGCCCCGGGCUCAACCUGGGAACGGCAUCCGGAACUGUCAGGCUAGAGUGCAGGAGAGGAAGGUAGAAUUCCCGGUGUAGCGGUGAAAUGCGUAGAGAUCGGGAGGAAUACCAGUGGCGAAGGCGGCCUUCUGGACUGACACUGACACUGAGGUGCGAAAGCGUGGGUAGCAAACAGGAUUAGAUACCCUGGUAGUCCACGCCGUAAACGAUGUCGACUAGCCGUUGGGUUCCUUGAGAACUUUGUGGCGCAGUUAACGCGAUAAGUCGACCGCC